AUUCUGUCAUACCCUGAUAAUACUGAUAAGAAAAUUGGGAAUCUAAGAGAACGUAAGGAGAGUGAUGGUGACAUAUUGAACCUAAGGUGAUACUACAUGAUCCCUGUUUCUGGCAUUACACUCUUAUUUUCCCCUCCUCUUCAAUGUGGGUAGGACCUGUGACUUGUAUCUAACCAAUAGAAUAUGACAAAGGUAAUAGGUUGUUAUGCGAUGUCAUAGAAGACUCCAUAGUACCAGCUGACUCAGUCUAGAAUCUUGGUGUGCUUGCAGGCUUUGAAGAACAAGCUGCCAUGAAUCCUGCAGCUACAAGGAAAUGAACUCUAUUAACUUGAGUGAGCUUAAAACUAGAUCCUUCCCCAGUCAAGCCUCCAGGUGAGAAUUCAAUCCUGGCUGGCACCUGGAUUGCAGCUUACAGAAGACCCAGCUAAGGCCAUGUCUGGACUUUAAAUCCACAGGAACUGCAAGAUAUUCUUCAUUAUUCCAUCAUCAUCUCAAACCUCUUGGGUAUAGUGUUUGACUACUACUGUGACCAUAAAUUCCAAUAAAACCUAGGAAAAAUGAAACCACUACAUUAACUGAAAGGAUGUGCCUGUCACAGUCUCCACCAGAAGCUUUAUCUUACUACAGAGUCCAGAUGCAUUAAGGCUGUGUUCGAGCCAUGAUCUUCCUCUGAAGAAGAAAUGAAGAAGAAAUUUAUCUUAUUUUUGGAUAUAGUGUUCUUAGUUGGCAGUUUAAUUAUUAUUUUUACUUCAUCACUUUGUAUACGUCAUCGCACUUUCUCCUGGCCUAUAAGAUCUCUCCUGAGAAAUUUUACGUUCUACUUUACUGGAACUUCAUUAAAUA
rnacentral:lncRNA from 1 species